CGCCUGGAGGGCAGGGACAGACGGAGGCCUCCCAGGCGCUAGCCCAAGGUCAGACGGGACAAUGGAGGAAGUAACUGAGGAACAGAGACCUCCAGGACCUGCCCAGUCCAGGUCACCAGCUCCAUGUUCCACAGUGUAGGGCCUUCAGAGAAGGAGCUGGGGCGACACAGGCCCAGAGGCACAUGGAGCAGAGCACCGAGGCAGAUUUUGUUUCCAAGCCAUCUCCACACCCAACGUGGGAC